rnacentral:rRNA from 1 species
GAUGAACACUGGCGGCGUGCUUAACACAUGCAAGUCGAACGGGAUCCAUCAGGCUUUGCUUGGUGGUGAGAGUGGCGAACGGGUGAGUAAUGCGUGACCGACCUGCCCCAUACACCGGAAUAGCUCCUGGAAACGGGUGGUAAUGCCGGAUGCUCCAGUUGAUCGCAUGGUCUUCUGGGAAAGCUUUCGCGGUAUGAGAUGGGGUCGCGUCCUAUCAGCUUGACGGCGGGGUAACGGCCCACCGUGGCUUCGACGGGUAGCCGGCCUGAGAGGGCGACCGGCCGCAUUGGGACUGAGAUACGGCCCAGACUCCUACGGGAGGCAGCAGUGGGGAAUAUUGCACAAUGGGCGCAAGCCUGAUGCAGCGACGCCGCGUGAGGGAUGGAGGCCUUCGGGUUGUAAACCUCUUUUAUCGGGGAGCAAGCGAGAGUGAGUUUACCCGUUGAAUAAGCACCGGCUAACUACGUGCCAGCCGCCGCAGUAAUAC